rnacentral:rRNA from 1 species
AGUGAACGCUGGCGGUAGGCCUAACACAUGCAAGUCGAACGGCAGCACAGUAAGAGCUUGCUCUUACGGGUGGCGAGUGGCGGACGGGUGAGGAAUACAUCGGAAUCUACUUUUUCGUGGGGGGUAACGUAGGGAAACUUACGCUAAUACCGCAUACGACCUACGGGUGAAAGCAGGGGAUCUUCGGACCUUGCGCGAUUGAAUGAGCCGAUGUCGGAUUAGCUAGUUGGCGGGGUAAAGGCCCACCAAGGCGACGAUCCGUAGCUGGUCUGAGAGGAUGAUCAGCCACACUGGAACUGAGACACGGUCCAGACUCCUACGGGAGGCAGCAGUGGGGAAUAUUGGACAGUGGGCGCAAGCCUGAUCCAGCCAUACCGCGUGGGUGAAGAAGGCCUUCGGGUUGUAAAGCCCUUUUGUUGGGAAAGAAAAGCAGCAGGUUAAUACCCCGCUGUUCUGACGGUACCCAAAGAAUAAGCACCGGCUAACUUCGU